UACAGAGGUGGCAAGCGUUGUUCGGAAUUACUGGGCGUAAAGGGCGCGUAGGCGGCCUACUAAGUCAGACGUGAAAUCCCCCGGCUUAACCUGGGAACUGCGUCUGAUACUGGAAGGCUUGAGUAUGGGAGAGGGAUGUAGAAUUCCAGGUGUAGCGGUGAAAUGCGUAGAUAUCUGGAGGAAUACCGGUGGCGAAGGCGGAUCUCUGGACCAGUUCUGACACUGAUGAGCGAAAGCCAGGGGAGCAAACAGG
rnacentral:rRNA from 1 species